rnacentral:rRNA from 1 species
CAGCCGCCGCGGUAAUACGGAGGGCGCGAGCGUUACCCGGAUUUACUGGGCGUAAAGGGCGUGUAGGCGGCCUGGGGCGUCCCAUGUGAAAGGCCACGGCUCAACCGUGGAGGAGCGUGGGAUACGCUCAGGCUAGAGGGUGGGAGAGGGUGGUGGAAUUCCCGGAGUAGCGGUGAAAUACGCAGAUACCGGGAGGAACGCCGAUGGCGAAGGCAGCCACCUGGUCCACUUCUGACGCUGAGGCGCGAAAGCGUGGGGAGCAAACCGGAUUAGAUACCCCCGUAGUCCCUGUCUCUUAUAC